rnacentral:tRNA from 2 species
CUAAGGAUGAUCUUAGCAGCAAGACUUCGGUCUUACUCGUAGAUCACUUAGCAUGAUAUGUCCUUUGCAUAUCAAAACAUCAGUUCAUCUUUUGAUGGACUUGGGCCGAGCCGUCCUCAUAUCUCUUCAGAAUUGCGAGCCUUAGGCUUGUACAAACCGCCUGAUUGGACCACCACCGGCCCUUUCGGCAGACUUGCUUUGCAAGUCACCUGUCGGGCGUUGUCGAUCUUGUUAUUCAAGAUCCACUGGGUCGGUAGCUCAGGUGGUUAGAGCGCACGCCUGAUAAGCGUGAGGUCGGAGGUUCAAGUCCUCCUCGACCCACCAUAGAUUGCACACCCUUAAAUGGGGCGUUAGCUCAGCUGGGAGAGCACCUGCUUUGCAAGCAGGGGGUCAUCGGUUCGAUCCCGAUACGCUCCACCAAGGAUUUAAGUUUGAAAGUUAAGCAACUUUUGUUGUUUUGCUGUCCAACUUGGACAUUGCUCAGUCUUCGGACUGACUUGACAUCGUAAAGAGAGAUACAAACAUCAGAAUUACUGAUGCACCGAGUAAGGUGUAUCGUGAUGUUGUUUGGCAUCGUGUGAGAGGGGUAGGAGCAAUCUUAUUUUUUGAUCGUGGUGUCUUUAAUAGCAACAGUUCACAAAGUAAUUUUGUUCCAAGUUAAGUACAAUUAUACCUGAGUAAAGCCGCAAGGUUUUGCUCAUCGUCGCUGCUCUAUCCGGGCAGUGGCGGCACGCAUGUUGCCCCCUCUUUGAACCAGCGGGGGCCCAUGGGAAUAAUUUUGUAUGACUUUUGGUUCAGAAUUUAGUCAUCUUCGGAUGAUGUUGGCAGGACACGCAAAAGGCCUGUCUUCUUCU